rnacentral:rRNA from 1 species
UACGUAUGGUGCAAGCGUUGUCCGGAAUUAUUGGGCGUAAAGGGCUCGUAGGCGGUCCAUCGCGUCGGGAGUGAAAAGCUGGGGCUUAACCCCAGUCCUGCUUCCGAUACGGGUGGACUAGAGGUAGGUAGGGGAGAACGGAAUUCCUGGUGUAGCGGUGAAAUGCGCAGAUAUCAGGAGGAACACCGGUGGCGAAGGCGGUUCUCUGGGCCUUACCUGACGCUGAGGAGCGAAAGCAUGGGGAGCAAACAGG